UCAGCAGGCCCGGGUAAUUCCAGCUCCAAUAGCGUAUAUUAAAGUUGUUGUGGUUAAAAAGCUCGUAGUUGAACCUUGGGCCUGGCUGGCCGGUCCGCCUCACCGCGUGCACUGGUCCGGCCGGGCCUUUCCCUCUGCGGAACCCCAUGCCCUUCACUGGGUGUGGCGGGGAAACAGGACUUUUACUUUGAAAAAAUUAGAGUGCUCAAGGCAGGCCUAUGCUCGAAUACAUUAGCAUGGAAUAAUAGAAUAGGACGUGUGGUUCUAUUUUGUUGGUUUCUAGGACCGCCGUAAUGAUUAAUAGGGACAGUCGGGGGCAUCAGUAUUCAAUUGUCAGAGGUGAAAUUCUUGGAUUUAUUGAAGACUAACUACUGCGAAAGCAUUUGCCAAGGAUGUUUUCAUUAAUCAGGAACGAAAGUUAGGGGAUCGAAGACGAUCAGAUACCGUCGUAGUCUUAACCAUAAACUAUGCCGACUAGGGAUCGGACGAUGUUACAUUUUUGACGCGUUCGGCACCUUACGAGAAAUCAAAGUGCUUGGGCUCCAGGGGGAGUAUGGUCGCAAGGCUGAAACUUAAAGAAAUUGACGGAAGGGCACCACCAGGGGUGGAGCCUGCGGCUUAAUUUGCCAACACACCCCCGGGAA
rnacentral:rRNA from 1 species